rnacentral:lncRNA from 1 species
GUUCUUGUAGUAGCUUCAUCCUAGCAUUAAUCUUCUCUCUCCUUGCCUACAGACAUAUAUAUAUAAUCAAGAUAAUUAAAAGCUUAAUUAUAUGUAAUUACUAAUUACCAUGUUUAGCAAAACAUUAGAAGCUCUUAAUCUUACUCUUUCUGCUAAACUAUGGCUAUCAGUGGCUUGGCCUCGACGCGCUCGGACGUGAACAUAUGGUAGCUUCUCGCCGCCGUCUUCUGAGUUCGAUAAUCAACCGACUUGCACAAGAUUGUGCGAGGAGGAUAGGAGAGAGACGCAGGGAGGCGGACCCAAGCACCCCAACGGUGCGGCUCUCUAGUGUUUACAUAUGUUCACGAGUCAUUCUGUUUUGUAGGUUUUGACAAUAAUCCUUCCACAAGUUCAUCUAUGAAUCUUGUUUCGAUUUCUUCUUCCUCUAAAGGUCACUUGUUCAUGAAUUGCCAUAAAUAGACUUAACUCUUGCUGCAAAAUAGUUAUGUAAGUUAUUAUGGCACCUUUUAAUAGCAUAUGAAUUAACUAGCAAUUGGACCAAAAAUGAAAUAAAGGAAUAAAGUUUUUGGGCAUUUGGGGAUCUUCUACACGCAAUCGCAAAUUGAAGGGUGAGAUUUUGUCAGAACAAAAGUUAAAGGGUUGUCCAGGCAAUUUUGGAAAUAAAACUUUCAAUUCUUAAAAACUGAUUAAUUAGCGCUAAUGAUGGGCUAACUUAUAAUUAAUUUGGAUUAGAUACAAGAUAACAGGCUAAUUGAAGCUUGAGAUAAUCAGAUAUUGACGAUAAGGUAGCUCAAUGAGUAAUGAAAUAUGUUAAAUAUAUCUUAAUAUCUUACUUUGUUCUUAAUUAGAAUUAUGAAUAACAAAGUUAGUCGAAGAAAAUAUAACACGUCUAAUAAGUUUGAAAUCGUGGAUUGUACAUAUUUCAUAGCUGGUCAAUACGCGCACAACUCAAGUCAUCCAAACUAAAAAUUGAAAUGGUUUUAUUAUUACUUUAUAUAAAUUAAACUAUCUUACGACGUUUUAAAUCAAGCUCGUGUCCUUGUUUAGCAUGG